rnacentral:sRNA from 1 species
AUGUUACAAAAAGCUGCAAUAGAGGAGGUGUCGAUCUUAACUCUGUCUCCGGGAUUUUAUUCCCGUCUUUUUCUGGUUCCAAAGAAGACUGGAGGAAUGAGGCCGGUCAUAGACCUAUCUAUUCUGAACAAAUUUCUUAUUGUUCCCCACUUCAAAAUGGAAACAAACAGAUCCAUCAGGGCUUCAAUCCUUCCAGGAAUGUGGACUACUUCUCUGGAUCUUUCAGACGCGUAUUUCCACAUUCCCAUUUCCCAAACUUACAGGAAAUACCUUCGCUUCGUUUGGAACAACAAAGUUUUCCAGUUCAAGGCUCUCCCUUUUGGCCUGUCUACAGCCCCUUUGGCUUUUACCAAAAUCAUGCAGGCAGCUAUAGCUCACCUACAUUCCCUGUCUAUUCAGAUUCAUUCCUACCUGGACGAUUCCCUUCUCAAGGAAUUUUGCCCAAUCAAAUUGAGGGUUCAGACAGAUUUGGUCAUCAAUUGUUUUCUGUCCCUAGGUUUCCUUAUCUCUUGGAAAAAGUCAGAGAUAAUUCCGUCUCAAGACUUUGUUUUCCUGGGAGAACAUUUCCUAACCAGUGUAGGCCUAGUCCUCCCACCAGAGGAGAAAUUUACAAAACUAUGUCAGAAAAUACAUUUAUUCCUGACGGUUCAAUCAGUCACAGCACGUCAAUUCUUGCAACUUCUGGGUCUAUUGAACUCUCUGGCAGAUGUAAUUCCAUUGGGACGACUUCACAUUCGUCCGCUUCAGUUUUAUCUGCACAAGUUAUGGAUUGCAGCUUCACAAGAAUGGGAAGCAUUGAUUCCAAUCACUCAGCCUUUAUUUCCACACCUUCAAUGGUGGUUAGUACGGGAAAAUGUAAUGAGGGGCCUAUGUCUGUUCCCUCAAGUUCCCAGUCUAACAUUAUUCACAGAUGCCUCCACCCUCGGUUGGGGAGCAUAUCUGGAGGGGCUUACAAUCUCGGGAGUCUGGAGUCCAGAUCUUUUGGAAGAGCAUAUCAAUGUAUUGGAAAUGAAAGCAGUUCUGUUUGCACUGAAUCAUUUCCAAAUGUCUCUAAAGAAUCAGUCUGUCAUUCUGGCCACGGACAACACAACAGUUGUAGCUUAUCUCAAGAAUCAGGGAGGAACUCAUUCACCUUCUCUUUAUCAGAUAGCCAGAGACAUUCUCCUUCUGUGUUUUCAACUCCAGGUUCAUCUAGUGGUGAGACAUAUUGCGGGGCACCUCAAUAUUCUAGCCGACACUCUAUCCAGAUCCCUUGCUCCAGUAAACACGGAGUGGGAACUACUUCAAGUAGUUUUCAAAGCUGUGACUCUUCAUUGGGGGUCACCUCAGAUAGAUCUGUUUGCGACCAGUCUCAAUCACAAACUUCUAACAUUUGUGUCUCCGGUUCCAGAUCCAAAAUCUUUUGCGGUAGACGCAAUGAGCCUAUCUUGGAAAGGAAUGUUCGGGUACGCCUUCCCUCCUUUCAGGUUUCUCUCCCCAGUACUUCAGAAAAUAGCAGGGGAAAAUUGCAAGAUCAUAGUUAUUGCUCCAGCAUGGCCAAAACAGUCUUGGUUUCCAGACCUUCUGCGCCUUUCAUGUGCUUGUCCUCUAGUUCUACCUCUGAGACCAGACCUUCUGUCUCAAAUCAAGGGCAAGGUUCUUUAUCAAAAUCCAGAAAAACUUCAUCUACACGCCUGGCUUCUCUCAGGGUUAGCCUCAGAAAGAGAGGUUUUUCUGAAGGAGCAACCAAGCAUCUCACAAAGUCUGUCAGAGACUCCACUAGCAUUGUCUAUGAUGCAAAAUGGUCAAUCUUCUCAGAUUGGUGUAGUGAGCGGGAAAUUGAUCCUUUCCAAGUCACUGUACAACAAUUAGCAGACUUUCUAGUUUUUCUUUUUGAAUCCAAAGGAUUAUGUCCCUCUACUAUUAAGGGAUAUAGAUCAGCUAUCUCAAGAACUAUUCAUAUUUCUGGUGGCCCAGAUUUUGGAAUCAAUGAGCAUAUUUCUCUUUUGGUUCGUAGUUUUAGUCUUGAAAGACCAAGACAAAAAACUUUAGUUCCUAAGUGGGACCUUGGACUAGUUUUAUCCUUUUUAAAACUUCCUCCUUUUGAACCAGCAGAAACAAUAGAUUUAAGGUUUCUUUCCUAUAAAUGCUGUUUUCUUUUAGCUUUGGCUUCUGGACGGAGAAGGAGUGAAAUCCAUGCCUUCUCUAUUUCUGAUGCUUGCCUUCGAUUUAACAGGGAUAAAUCUUCUGUUACUCUUUUAACGGAUCCUGCUUUUUUGGCAAAGAAUCAGAUUCCAGAUAAGGGUGCAGAACCAGUUGUGAUUCCUGCACUCCCUAGCGAUUCUAUUUCUGUACUUUUAUGUCCAGUAAGAAUCCUUUCUAUUUAUCUGGAAAGAACGUGUAGUUUACGUUCUGUUUCUAACUCAAGACUCUUUAUUCCUAUUAAAAAAGGAAUCUCAGAUCUUUCUGUUAAAACUAUUUCUACUUGGAUAUGCAAAUGCAUAUCUUUAGCUUAUGGUUCUUCUAAGGCAGAACUUUUAAAUAGUUUUAAUGUUAAAGCUCAUGAUGUUAGGGGUAUCUCUACAUCCUGGGCUCUGUUUAACAGUGCAUCUUUAGAAGAGGUACUGUCUGCAGGUUUCUGGAGAAAUGAGAACUCUUUUAUAUCUCACUACCUCCAAUCUAUGGCUACUUUUGCCGAGAGUUUAUACUCUCUUGGACCUAUAGUUUCAGCACAAAGAUUGAACUUUCCUCCUGUUUCUUCUGUUACAGGGGAUUCAGCUUUACGUUAG